UACGUAGGGAGCGAGCGUUGUCCGGAUUCAUUGGGCGUAAAGCGCGCGUAGGCGGCCUCGCAAGUCGGUUGUGAAAUCCCGGGGCUCAACCCCGGGACUGCGUCCGAUACUGCGAGGCUGGAGGUAGGUAGGGGAGAUCGGAAUUCCUGGUGUAGCGGUGAAAUGCGCAGAUAUCAGGAGGAACACCGGUGGCGAAGGCGGAUCUCUGGGCCUUACCUGACGCUGAGGCGCGAAAGCUAGGGGAGCGAACAGG
rnacentral:rRNA from 1 species